rnacentral:rRNA from 1 species
AUUGAACGCUGGCGGCAUGCUUUACACAUGCAAGUCGAACGGCAGCGCGGGCUUCGGCCUGGCUGCGAGUGGCGAACGGGUGAGUAAUGCAUCGGAACGUGCCCAGUAGUGGGGGAUAGCCCGGCGAAAGCCGGAUUAAUACCGCAUACGACCUGAGGGUGAAAGCGGGGGACCGAAAGGCCUCGCGCUAUUGGAGCGGCCGAUGUCGGAUUAGCUAGUUGGUGGGGUAAAGGCUUACCAAGGCGACGAUCCGUAGCUGGUCUGAGGGGACGACCAGCCACACUGGGACUGAGACACGGCCCAGACUCCUACGGGGGGCAGCAGUGGGGAAUUUUGGACAAUGGGGGCAACCCUGAUCCAGCCAUGCCGCGUGCGGGAAGAAGGCCUUCGGGUUGGAAAACGCUUUUGUUCGGGAAGAAAUCCUCUGGGCUAAUACCCCGGGGGGAUGACGGUACCGGAAGAAUAAGCACCGGCUAACUACGUG